rnacentral:rRNA from 1 species
UACGAAGGGGGCAAGCGUUAUUCGGAAUUAUUGGGCGUAAAGAGCGUGUAGGUGGCACUAAAAGUCAAAUGUGAAAGAUCACGGCCUAACUGUGAGAGUGCAUUUGAAACUAGAGAGCUAGAGUUUGGGAGAGAGGAGUGGAAUUCUCGGAGUAGCGGUUAAAUGCGUGGAUCUCGAGAGGAACACCAAUGGCGAAGGCAGCUCCUUGGACCAUGACUGACACUAAAGCGCGAAAGCGUGGGGAGCAAACAGG